UUUUAAAUUUGAGACAGGGUCUCCCUAAGUACCUGGGGCUCACAAUGGCAAUCCUCCUGCCUCAGCCUCCCAGAGGUGACAGGGAUGGGCCAUCACGCCUGGCUGAAAAGCUACUUUUUUUCUGACAGACUUGCUCAAAAAUCUUCAAAGUCCUUUCUCCCUGGCUUGGGACCUGCAUUUGGUCCCAAUCCCCACAGAGCCCUGCUAGGUGCCUCCCAUCCCGCAGAGCCCUGGGCCCCGUGCCAGCUGCCUGCCUUCGGAGGCGGGCCUUCUGCCGGGCCUGGCGCUCCCCGUCUGGCAGCAAGGCCUGAACGCUGGGCCCGCGUCCUUCCCCAGGACAAGGCAGGGGGUGAAGUGCAUAGCCUCCCCCUCCGCCUGGGGUUCACGCUGCUGCCAGGACAGAGGAGCUGCUGUGGGACUUGGGAGCCGGAUGCAUGGGAGAUGACUGAAGCUGACACUGCAGAGUCCUUCCGGGUCACACUCAAGACAGCAAGGUGCCCGCCCACCCAUCGAGGAAAAAGACUAGUCCACUCUCAGUGGCUACCACUGUCCUGGCUCAGACUCACCAUCCUUGGCCACAGGCAGCCUGGGCAGUAGGAGGGGACACCGGGCCGCACCUGCACUUUGGGCUAUCAGAGGCAGAGAGAGGCUGGGGACACUGCCGCCCCAGACUUACAGGAAGCAAACAGGCAAGCGGAACACGAUCCGGCAGGACAAGGAGCACAUGCCCAGGAGGGACACACAGAUCCGCACAGCAGCAGCGUCUGGAAGGCCUAUCCUGUACAUGCACGGCAGCGCUGGGUCAGACCCCAGGGCUCUGCCACCGAGCCACAGCCCAGCCCUAUCGGGCCAGCCCUGCAGACAUUUCAGGUGUUACUGUCAUCCCAACUGGACUGAACGCUUUCCCACCUUCAGUUCAGUGCAAGGCCGCGGCCCGGCCCAGCCCGGCCCGAGUGACCCACUUGUCUUGCUACCCUGCUGUCAGUCUUUCCCUAUCUGAAGUCUCCCCUCCCACGCCCCACUCCUAACCGUGGGAUGGUUAAGGGCACAAGGACAAGGACAAGCAUCAUGGAACUAGGUUAGGAAUCACAACAACCGAGGAUGGCGUCGUUUACUGGAAGCCAAGAUUCAACCUCAGAAUUCACCUUCACUGCAGUCA